rnacentral:lncRNA from 1 species
GAUAAUUUUGGAACUAAAAAAAUAAUGGAGAGGUGUAGGGAGUGCUUGGGGUGGUAGAGGAUGUAGGAUAAUUUUGGAAUUAAAGAAGUGUAGGGAGUGUUUGGGGUGGUGGAGAGAGUAACCUCCUCAUUCUUAUUAUUAAUUUUGGGUCUCUACAAUUUUGAUUUCAAAUCUUCCAGUAGGGUGUUGUUCCCUUCACCACCACCUUUGCUCCCUCCACCUCCCCAAUUUUUUGCAAAAUUUUUUUAAUUACAAAAAUAACCUUUUUUUAUCUUUUUUUUUUACUUUUAAUCUUAUUCAAUUACUUUAAUAUGAAUAAUGUUGUUUCCUCCACCGUACAAGUGUUUCUUACACCUUCCCAAAUUAUUUUUUAUUUCAAAAUUACCUUUGUUUACUUUUAAUAUUUACUUUUAUAUCAAAACCCUAAUUACCUUGCACCUCUCUCUCAUUUUCACUCACAGACAGUCCCAACCCCACCUCCUACUCUUACUUUCUUUAUUUCUCUCCAUAUACUUUUCUUCUCUACCAUUCUCCAUUACUCCAUGCAUAUAUAUCACACAUAACUUCUCUCUCAUACUUUCCUUUUUUUUCCUUUCUCUUUUACCAAAUACUCAUCUUAUCCUUCCCUCCUUCGUUACCAACCAAAAGAAAACUCCCUGCCAUUAAUUUUCCAAACACUUUACACACUCCUCUCUGUACUGUUGUCCAUUCUCAAACCAUCAACUCUUUUAUCUUCAUUUAAUCACCCACUUUUUCCUAUUCUCACACAUUAUUUUUCUAUUUUCCUUUCUCCUCACCAACAACGUUCAAAACAACACUCACUUUCCUCUUUCUAUUCUCUUUAUAGUAUCAAAACUCAUUUUCCUUUUAAACUUGAAACCCCACCAUUCCACUGUUACCAUUUUCUUUUCUCUUCCUCUUACAAAAUCUCAUGUACCACACUCACUACUCUCUUCUCCCUUUUUCUAUUUUCUUCUUUUCUCCUUUCUCUUCCUUUUUAAAUAGCCCAUCAUCCUCUUCCUCGACAUUCACAUUUAUGUACGGUAACAAUUCCUCAUCCUUUAGCUCCCAUAGGUUUUUCCACUGCCCCUCAUUCUUCUUUUCAUUUUACUCACUCUAUUUUCAUCACUUCAACUACUUCCUUCCACUCUACAUGAUAUAUCCUAUUUUCACAUUAUCUCCUCUUUGACUCAACACAUACACCAUCACGCCUUCCUUCUCUUAUUUCUUUGUUGUGAUAUGUGCCUGUGUUUUUGCAAAUGAAAAAGAUAAUUGCAACUCAAUGGAUAUGGAACAUCCGACUACGAAUAUCAUAUUCGUUCAAGG